GCACUCGUAGCUCAGUUGGAUAGAGGCCUCCUAAGGGGCAGGCCACUGGUUCGAAUCCAGUCGAGUGCA
rnacentral:tRNA from 1 species